GGCCUGUUGGUGAAGUGGUUAACACGCUAGGUUCUCAAUCUAGUAUGCAGGAGUUCGAACCUCCUACAGGUCGCCA
rnacentral:tRNA from 1 species